rnacentral:lncRNA from 1 species
GGGGCUAAGGCCUUGCUACUGUAUUCUAAAAAGGGCUUCGGUCCACUGUGUACUGUUAUCUGAAUAGGGCUUAGGCCCAAUGGGCUCGAGCUGAUUUGGGCUUUGGAUGGGUUUUUGUAUACACUGAGUUUUCCCAACCUCACCCAUUCCUCUUCCAUCCUUGCAGGUGAGCCCUAGUUGGUGGACUUGGAGCUGGGCAGGAUUCAGAGUGGCCAUGAAGAUGGAU